GCAGGCUUAACACAUGCAAGUCGAACGGGCACCUUCGGGUGUCAGUGGCAGACGGGUGAGUAACACGUGGGAACAUACCCUUCGGUUCGGAACAACUCAGGGAAACUUGAGCUAAUACCGGAUACGCCCUUACGGGGAAAGAUUUAUUGCCGAAGGAUUGGCCCGCGUCUGAUUAGCUAGUUGGUGAGGUAACGGCUCACCAAGGCGACGAUCAGUAGCUGGUCUGAGAGGAUGAUCAGCCACACUGGGACUGAGACACGGCCCAGACUCCUACGGGAGGCAGCAGUGGGGAAUAUUGGACAAUGGGCGAAAGCCUGAUCCAGCCAUGCCGCGUGAGUGAUGAAGGCCUUAGGGUUGUAAAGCUCUUUCGACGGGGACGAUAAUGACGGUACCCGUAGAAGAAGCCCCGGCUAACUUCGUGCCAGCAGCCGCGGUAAUACGAAGGGGGCUAGCGUUGCUCGGAAUCACUGGGCGUAAAGGGCGCGUAGGCGGCCAUUCAAGUCAGAGGUGAAAGCCCAAGGCUCAACCUUGGAAUUGCCUUUGAUACUGUUUGGCUUGAGACCGGAAGAGGUAAGUGGAACUGCGAGUGUAGAGGUGAAAUUCGUAGAUAUUCGCAAGAACACCAGUGGCGAAGGCGGCUUAUUGGUCCGGUUCUGACGCUGAGGCGCGAAAGCGUGGGGAGCAGACAGG
rnacentral:rRNA from 1 species